AUUGAACUCUGGCGGCAGGCCUAACACAUGCAAGUCGAACGAGUGGCGGACGGGUGAGUAAUGUCUGGGCAACUGCCUGAUGGAGGGGGCUAACUCCUGGAAACGGUAGCUAAUACCGCAUACCAUCAGAUUUGCCCAGAUGGGAUUAGCUGGUUGGUGGGGUAACGGCUUACCUAGGCGCCGCUCCCUAGCUGGUCUGCGAGGAUGACCAGCCACACUGGGACUGAGACACGGGCCAGACUCCUACGGGAGGCAGCAGUGGGGAAUAUUGGACAAUGGGCGCAAGCCUGAUGCAGCCAUGCCGCGUGGAUGAAGAAGGCCUUCGGGUUGUAAAGUACUUUCAGCGGGGAGGCGUUACCCGCAGAAGAAGCACCGGCUAACUCCGUGCCAGCCGCCGCGGUAAUUC
rnacentral:rRNA from 1 species